AAAUAAGAAGCAAAUUUUGCAUUUAAUUUCGACUUAAAAAUUAGAGUUACUUAACUCCUUAUUUA
rnacentral:tRNA from 1 species